rnacentral:lncRNA from 1 species
CCCCUUCCUCCGCGGGCGGCGGAUCUAGGUGGUUGACGGCGGUGGCUUGUGGCGAUCGCGAUCGGGCGCGAGGUGGCAGCCUCGGCGAGCGGUGGCGGGGAGUGGGGCGCGCGGCGGCGGCCCGCGGCAGGCGUUGGCGGGCGCUGGGCUAGCGGCGGUGCUCCGGCGGGUGCAGGCGGUGCUGGCCCCUGUACGCGGUCGGUGGAUCCCUCUUUGACCCGGACGGCGCGGGGGGUGCGGCGGCUGCGGCGGCGGUCCUCGCUGGAUGCUGGUGGCCAUGGUGUUGCUUCUCGUCGACCCCGAUCUACUCCGAUCUGCAGCGGAUCCGGCCCCAGAUGGCUUCUCGCUGUUCUUGGCUGCUGGCCCUGCAGAUCCGGUGGUUGGAAGGGUUCCGGGGGAGUCCCUUGGCCGGUGCGGCGGCCACUCCGAAGGCAGCACCUUUGGGUGUUGUUCCCCUUGUUGGAGGCUUUGGAGAGGAUCCCCUUCCUACCACCCCUCCCAGGAGCUCAGGUGAAAACCUCAGAUCCCCUUGGUCCAAG